GCGCGCUUGGUGUAACGGUAACACAUGGCUCUGUUAUUAGCUCAGUCCAGGGUUCGACUCCCUGAGCACGCC